UCCGAGUUAACCCCGGCAGUCCCCCACGAGUCCCCAGCCGAUCCGAAAACCGCUGCUGGCAACAUGGGGUAAGGGUUGCGCUCGUUGCGGGACUUAACCCAACAUCUCACGACACGAGCUGACGACAGCCAUGCACCACCUGUCACCCAGUCCGAAGAGGCCCCCAUCUCUGGAAACCGUCCUACCAUGUCAAACGCUGGUAAGGUUCUGCGCGUUGCAUCGAAUUAAACCACAUACUCCACCGCUUGUGCGGGCCCCCGUCAAUUCCUUUGAGUUUCAGUCUUGCGACCGUACUCCCCAGGCGGCGAACUUAACGCGUUAGCUUCGAUACUGAGUGCCUAGUUGCACCCAACAUCCAGUUCGCAUCGUUUAGGGCGUGGACUAC
rnacentral:misc_RNA from 1 species